AAUGUAUAAAAUUUACUCUUUCAUUCUUUAUUCACCUGUUAAUACAAGAAAUAAAAUGAACAUUCGAUAACCAUUUCAAAACAAGACCAAAACCUCGAUCCAACGUCGAGUAAUCAUUUUUCAAAACCUAACAGAACCAGCACGUAUUCAUCCACCCUUUUUGUAAGUCGAUUGCUUUAUGCAUCGCCAUCAACCUUGUAAGUCGAUUGCUUUAUGCAUCGCCAUCAACCUUGUAAGUCGAUUG
rnacentral:lncRNA from 1 species